rnacentral:misc_RNA from 1 species
UUCGCUUGGUGUCGAGASUGAGAGAUMUCCUUUGAAGAAAAUAAAAGUWUGCAUCGGYUUUUGAGCCYGAKGCCUGUUMUGCAUACAYUGUGAAGAGAAGAKUGAUCUGGAGGSUUCCASGUGUUUUGGACUUAUGUCYGGAACGUCCGAGCCCAGUUCCUGUGAACCCAYGGAUGGCCUAGCCGSCCGGAUGUGGUGGAGGGAUUGGAGGGUGGAAGGAAGCUUGUCGCUCUGGAUCGUUUGUUGUUYGUKGCCUUCGGGSUUYGUCUGAUAAGCGAUCGGAUUACCGUUGCCYGACCGCGCGGUAUCGGAUCCAAUCUCGAGAAGMUGGUCUUAAGACAGGCUGCAAGUGGGSUGCUCGGSGUAGCUCCAAUAAAGCAGACCUGUCGAACACGUCGAUGGCAYUGUUGGAUUGACUGGGUUGUAAAAGGUAACCCGGUCUGUUGCCGUUUCCUUCGGGGACGGUAGCGAGAUGAUGAGCAUUGGCAAUGAGAACGAUUAAGUGUCGUAAGGGCAUUUGGUGGAUGCCUUGGCAUGCACAGGCGAUGAAGGACGUGAUACGCUGCGAAAAGCCGU